AGAAUUGGCAGGGCCUGGAAGAGAGGUUAUCUCCUGUAUGGUCCUCCAGGGACUGGUAAGUCCACUAUGAUUGCAGCCAUGGCCAAUCUUUUGAAUUAUGACAUUUAUGAUCUAGAAUUAACUGCUGUAAAGGACAACACUGAAUUGAGAAAGCUAUUAAUUGAGACAUCAAGCAAAUCUGUUGUUGUGAUAGAGGACAUUGAUUGUUCUCUUGAUCUCACUGGUCAAAGGAUGAAGAAAAAGGAAGAAGAAAAAGAUUGGCCAUGGCUGCAAUCAUAGU
rnacentral:misc_RNA from 1 species